rnacentral:tRNA from 28 species
UAGCUCAGUUGGUAGAGCACGACCUUGCCAAGGUCGGGGUCGCGAGUUCGAGUCUCG